GUUUUCAAGGCUUAAAUAAUACGCUACAGGAGUCAGAUGAUAUUGAUGACCCAGCUGGGGGUCAGGAAUAGAAAUUGGAGCUUGACUAGAUUUGGAUAGGAGAUAGAGUACCUAAGGGUACCAUUGUUAGUAGAAGGGCUUGACUUGAGCAUUUGAAGUUCUUUGUGUUAUUUGGAUCUAUUGAGAUUUAAGAUGUUUCAAUUUAUUAUGUUGAGAUUUAAUUAUGUUUUUGGUUUAGUAGGACUUAUAGAUUUAUCAGUUUGGUAUGUUAUGACUACCAGGAGAUUGUGGACCCCUUAGUUUGUUAUUAUUGCAGUAAUGACUUUGUGGAGUUUG